rnacentral:rRNA from 2 species
CGGGUGAGUAACACGUGAGUAACCUGCCCUUGACUCUGGGAUAAGCCUGGGAAACUGGGUCUAAUACCGGAUAUGACCGUCUGACGCAUGUCAGGUGGUGGAAAGCUUUUGUGGUUUUGGAUGGACUCGCGGCCUAUCAGCUUGUUGGUGGGGUAAUGGCCUACCAAGGCGACGACGGGUAGCCGGCCUGAGAGGGUGACCGGCCACACUGGGACUGAGACACGGCCCAGACUCCUACGGGAGGCAGCAGUGGGGAAUAUUGCACAAUGGGCGCAAGCCUGAUGCAGCGACGCCGCGUGAGGGAUGACGGCCUUCGGGUUGUAAACCUCUUUCAGUAGGGAAGAAGCGAAAGUGACGGUACCUGCAGAAGAAGCGCCGGCUAACUACGUGCCAGCAGCCGCGGUAAUACGUAGGGCGCAAGCGUUAUCCGGAAUUAUUGGGCGUAAAGAGCUCGUAGGCGGUUUGUCGCGUCUGCUGUGAAAGACCGGGGCUCAACUCCGGUUCUGCAGUGGGUACGGGCAGACUAGAGUGCAGUAGGGGAGACUGGAAUUCCUGGUGUAGCGGUGAAAUGCGCAGAUAUCAGGAGGAACACCGAUGGCGAAGGCAGGUCUCUGGGCUGUAACUGACGCUGAGGAGCGAAAGCAUGGGGAGCGAACAGGAUUAGAUACCCUGGUAGUCCAUGCCGUAAACGUUGGGCACUAGGUGUGGGGGACAUUCCACGUUUUCCGCGCCGUAGCUAACGCAUUAAGUGCCCCGCCUGGGGAGUACGGCCGCAAGGCUAAAACUCAAAGGAAUUGACGGGGGCCCGCACAAGCGGCGGAGCAUGCGGAUUAAUUCGAUGCAACGCGAAGAACCUUACCAAGGCUUGACAUGAACCGGUAAUACCUGGAAACAGGUGCCCCGCUUGCGGUCGGUUUACAGGUGGUGCAUGGUUGUCGUCAGCUCGUGUCGUGAGAUGUUGGGUUAAGUCCCGCAACGAGCGCAACCCUCGUUCUAUGUUGCCAGCGCGUUAUGGCGGGGACUCAUAGGAGACUGCCGGGGUCAACUCGGAGGAAGGUGGGGACGACGUCAAAUCAUCAUGCCCCUUAUGUCUUGGGCUUCACGCAUGCUACAAUGGCCGGUACAAAGGGUUGCGAUACUGUGAGGUGGAGCUAAUCCCAAAAAGCCGGUCUCAGUUCGGAUUGGGGUCUGCAACUCGACCCCAUGAAGUCGGAGUCGCUAGUAAUCGCAGAUCAGCAACGCUGCGGUGAAUACGUUCCCGGGCCUUGUACACACCGCCCGUC